UACAGAGGGGGCUAGCGUUGUUCGGAAUUACUGGGCGUAAAGGGCGCGUAGGUGGCCUGUUAAGUCGAACGUGAAAUCCCCGGGCUCAACCCGGGAACUGCGUCCGAGACUGGCAGGCUCGAAUCCGGGAGAGGGAUGUGGAAUUCCAGGUGUAGCGGUGAAAUGCGUAGAUAUCUGGAGGAACACCGGUGGCGAAGGCGGCGUCCUGGACCGGUAUUGACGCUGAGGCGCGAAAGCCAGGGGAGCAAACGGG
rnacentral:rRNA from 1 species